GCAGGGUGCGGACCUCUUCGAAGUAGGGGAUACGUCAAACCGUCUAUGCGGUUACCUUAAAUACCUCAGAGCCUGGCGACAGUCAAGAAUAAAGUCAUCGGUGACGUCAGUUAUGCUGACGUCACUCUUUAUUAAAAACCAUGGCUGGGACCCUACUCCGACAUAUAUUAAUAUGCGGUUAUCGUUCCGUGGUUCCGUGGUUUGCUCCGCACAUAUAUAAAUAAGGUUACUACAAUAACUCCAUACACCGCGUCCUCAUGCAUCCCAAGUCCAUAAAAGAUAAUGGGCAUCCAAGAUUCAUGAACGACUCAUGGAGGAGACGACAGCAUCAUCUACGGAGACUGGCCGCCA